rnacentral:rRNA from 1 species
UACGAAGGGGGCUAGCGUUGCUCGGAAUCACUGGGCGUAAAGGGUGCGUAGGCAGGUCUUUAAGUCAGGGGUGAAAGCCCGGAGCUCAACUCCGGAACUGCCAUUGAAACUGUGAGACUGGAGUACGAGAGAGGUGAGUGGAAUUCCCAGUGUAGAGGUGAAAUUCGUAGAUAUUCGCAAGAACACCAGUGGCGAAGGCGGCUCACUGGCCCGAUACUGACGCUGAGGCACGAAAGCGUGGGGAGCAAACAGGG